rnacentral:rRNA from 1 species
AGUGAACGCUGGCGGUAGGCCUAACACAUGCAAGUCGAACGGCAGCACAGUAAGAGCUUGCUCUUACGGGUGGCGAGUGGCGGACGGGUGAGGAAUACAUCGGAAUCUACUUUUUCGUGGGGGAUAACGUAGGGAAACUUACGCUAAUACCGCAUACGACCUACGGGUGAAAGCAUGGGAUCUUCGGACCUUGCGCGAUUGAAUGAGCCGAUGUCGGAUUUGCUAGUUGGCGGGGUAAAGGCCCACCAAGGCGACGAUCCGUAGCUGGUCUGAGAGGAUGAUCAGCCACACUGGAACUGAGACACGGUCCAGACUCCUACGGGAGGCAGCAGUGGGGAAUAUUGGACAAUGGGCGCAAGCCUGAUCCAGCCAUACCGCGUGGGUGAAGAAGGCCUUCGGGUUGUAAAGCCCUUUUGUUGGGAAAGAAAAGCAGCAGGUUAAUACCCCGCUGUUCUGACGGUACCCAAAGAAUAAGCACCGGCUAACUUCGUG